GGUCAAGAAGAAAGCGCACAUGGCGGAUGCCAUGGCGCCGGGAGGCGAAGAAGGACGUGCCAAUCUGCGAAAAGCCGCGGUAAGCCGAUAAGGGGCGUUAAGCCGCGGAUGUCCGAAUGGGGGAACCCGACAUAGGCAACUAUGUCAUCAUGCUGCAAGGCAUGAAGCGAACCGGGGGAAGUGAAACAUCUCAGUACCCCGAGGAAAAGAAAUCAACCGAGAUUUCCCAAGUAGCGGCGAGCGAACGGGAAGGAGCCCAAAAGUCAGCUGUGUUUUAGCGGAAUCACGUGGGAAAGUGAAGCGCAGAGGGUGAGACUCCCGUACGCGAAGGGGCACAGGAGAUGAGAGAGAGUAGGGCGGGACACGAGGAAUCCUGUCUGAAGAGGGGGGACCAUCCUCCAAGGCUAAAUACUACCCGGCGACCGAUAGUGAACCAGUACCGUGAGGGAAAGGCGAAAAGAACCCCGGGAGGGGAGUGAAAUAGAACCUGAAACCGUGUGCGUACAAGCAGUGGGAGCAUGAUGCAAGUCAUGUGACUGCGUACCUUUUGUAUAAUGGGUCAGCGAGUUGUCCGUAUUAGCGAGGUUAACCUAGAUGGGGGAGCCGCAGGGAAACCGAGUCAUAACCGGCGAGGAGUUGAUACGGGCAGACCCGAAACCGAGUGAUCUAGUCCGGGACAGGCUGAAAGCAGGGUAACACCUGCCGGAGGGCCGAACCCACUGACGUUGCAAAGUCAGGGGAUGAUUUCGGACUAGGGGUGAAAGGCCAAUCAAACCCGGUGAUAGCUGGUUCUCCCCGAAAGCUAUUUAGGUAGCGUCCCGUGGUGACGGACGGGGGUAGAGCACUGUAACGCCGAGGGUUGCGUCAAGUGAUACCGAGGCGUAGCAAACUGCGAAUACCGUCCAGUUGAAAGCGGGGGACACACGGUGGGUGCUAACGUUCAUCGUGGAGAGGGAAACAACCCGGACCGCCGGCUAAGGUCCCGAAGUUCAGAUUAAGUGGGAAACGAUGUGGGAAGGCAUAGACAGCCAGGAUGUUGGCUUAGAAGCAGCCAUCAUUUAAAGAAAGCGUAAUAGCUCACUGGUCGAGUCGGCCUGCGCGGAAGAUGUAACGGGGCUAAAAUCUGACACCGAAGCCGCGGAUUUGCAUUUAGGUGCAAGUGGUAGGGGAGCGUUCUGCAAGCCGGAGAAGGCAAGCUGAGAGGCUUGCUGGAGGGAGCAGAAGUGCGAAUGCUGACGCAAGUAACGAUAAAACGGGUGAAAAGCCCGUUCGCCGGAAGACCAAGGGUUCCUGUCCAACGUUAAUCGGGGCAGGGUGAGUCGGUGCCUAAGGCGAGGCUGAAAAGCGCAGUCGAAGGGAAACGGGUUAAUAUUCCCGUACCGGAUAAUAUUGCGAUGAGGUGACGGAGAAGGUAAGGCAGGCCGGAGAGCGGAAGUUCCGGUGAAAGGCGGUAGGGAAUCGCGGGGGUUAAAAGACCUGCGGUGAUGAACUGAGAGCCGAGAGGAGCAAACUACGGUUUGUGAAGCUGCUAGGUCCAGGCUUCCAGGAAAAGCCUCUAAGCUUAGAUAUUAUGCGGCCGUACCCCAAACCGACACAGGUGGUCGGGUAGAGGAUACCAAGGCGCUUGGGAGAACCCGGGUGAAGGAACUAGGCAAAAAUGUACCGUAACUUCGGGAGAAGGUACGCUGUCGGGUGUGAAAUCCGCACGGAGGGAGCACUUGACAGCCGCAGCUAAAUGGCGGCUGGGACUGUUUAACAAAAACACAGCACUCUGCGAACCUGAAAGGGGAAGUAUAGGGUGUGACACCUGCCCGGUGCCGGAAGGUUAAAUGAUGGGGUCAGGCGCAAGCUGAAGCCCUUGAGUGAAGCCCCGGUAAACGGCGGCCGUAACUAUAACGGUCCUAAGGUAGCGAAAUUCCUUGUCGGGCAAGUUCCGACCUGCACGAAUGGUGUAACCAUGGCCGCGCUGUCUCCACCCGGGACCCAGUGAAACCGAAAUCGCUGUGAAGAUGCAGUGUACCCGCGGCUAGACGGAAAGACCCCGUGAACCUUUACUGCAGCUUGACACUGAACCUUGAACCUGUUUGCGCAGGAUAGGCGGGAGACACUGAAGUCGGAGCUCAGGCUCUGAUGGAGUCGCCCUUGAAAUACCGCCCUGACAGUUUUGAGGUUCUAACCUAAGGCUUAAAUGACAUGGGACAGUGUCUGGCGGGAAGUUUGACUGGGGCGGUCUCCUCCCAAAGGGUAACGGAGGAGCACGAAGGUCGGCUGGUUACGGUCGGAAACCGUGAUGACAGUGCAAUGGCAAAAGCCGGCUUAACUGCGAGACCGACAAGUCGAACAGAUACGAAAGUAGGUCAUAGUGAUCCGGUGGUUCCAAAUGGACGGGCCAUCGCUCAACGGAUAAAAGGUACUCUGGGGAUAACAGGCUGAUACCGCCCAAGAGUUCAUAUCGACGGCGGUGUUUGGCACCUCGAUGUCGGCUCAUCACAUCCUGGGGCUGAAGUUGGUCCCAAGGGUAUGGCUGUUCGCCAUUUAAAGUGGUACGCGAGCUGGGUUCAAAACGUCGUGAGACAGUUUGGUCCCUAUCUACCGCGGGCGUAGGAUGAUUGAGGGGGAUUGCUCCUAGUACGAGAGGACCGGAGUGAACGGACCGCUGGUUUACGGGUUGUCAUGCCAAUGGCACGGCCCGGCAGCCAAGUCCGGGACUGAUAACCGCUGAAAGCAUCUAAGCGGGAAGCAGGCCCCGAGAUGAGUCAUCCCGAGUGCAAGCUCCGAAAGGGCCGUUUAAGACGAAGACGUAGAUAGGCCGGAGGUGGAAGCUCUGUGAGGAGUGAAGCUAGCCGGUACUAAUGACCCGCGAGGCUUGGCCGU
rfam:Succinatimonas hippei YIT 12066 genomic scaffold Scfld37, whole genome shotgun sequence.